AAAACCCUAAAGACUCCAUUAAACUGUGUUCUUUACACUGACUGUAUAGAAAGAGGAGGUACAGUAAACACACCCCCUAUACACUUCAACCGAUGCCCUUUGCCUGGUCUGUAUUGUGAAUUGGGGGACAAAA